rnacentral:hammerhead_ribozyme from 1 species
GUCCAGCUGAUAAGUCCCAAACAAGACGAAACGCAUGUCCUGUAU